ensembl:lncRNA
AUUCAGGGUCUAUGGUACCUAACCUGAUCACAUCUCUUUAAAAAAUAAUGAGGAAUCUUUGAACUGUUUCAAUAGGUUAUAGAAAUUGUUGAGAACCUUGAAAGCUUCUGUGACAGCCUUCAGCUUUAGAUAUUUAGAUAAUAUUUAUUAGAACUAAAAAAUGUAUCGUCGAUGACAAAUUUGAAAACUUGGCAAUAUAUUGGUCAAACUUUUAAAUGUUACCCCCUAUUACAUUUAUACCACAGAGACGUGCUUCAGGGUCAUGCAUUCAUUUGCUGAAGCUUUAUAGAAGUGUACACCACUUAACUUAGCAUUAUAAAUAAAGAUGGUAAGUGAUAUUUAAUGAUCGUCCUCUCUGUCACUUUUAGCGAUGUGUCUGGUGGACUUGACUCAAGUUCUUUGAGUCCUCAGUACAGGAAGGGUGCCCGUCCAGUGCCUGCUACUGCGCCUGACUGCAGUGACUGCCAUGAGUUGGAAACCCUCAUGCCCUCUAGUGCACAAGACCCCAACAAACCCCUCACAGACCUCACCGAGCAACAGAGUCUCAUGGGUAACAUAGAAGGGGCUGACGAUGGCCUUGAAGAAUCCAAGCCAGCCUGGAAUGGAUCCGUUAGUCGGAACUGGGCCAAUAGGAUCACCAGAUACAGAGAUACUAUAACUGAGGAUUCUUCUGCUCUCAUUAAUGGAGCUCUUGAGGGACUACCGUCAGAGAACAAUAAGAGCGGGCACGUGGAGAGGCUGUAUUCCCUCAGCAAGAACCAGGUGGAGGCUGAAGUCAUCGUGCAUUCACAGCUGUCUAACACGACGGUUGACCAGGGUCCACAAAGCGACAUGGAGCUCUCUUUGGAGACGCCAUUUUCCAAGCACCCAUCUCCUGGAGAGAAGGCAACUCCCACAUCAAACCCACAUCCAACUUAUGCUCACAGCGAGAACAACCAUAAAACUCAAUCUCCAUCUCCAGCCCCCAGCACUCACAUCUCAGAAGUACUGUCCAAUCACAAUGGACCAUUUGAAAGUGGACUCAGCCAGCCGACAGUGGGCAGUGCCAAAAACCAAGGUGUGGGGCUUACUAAUGGCUUCCAUUCAUCCAAACCCCUUUGUCCAAACGCAGAGACCCUGGAGAAUGGGGUCCACAGGCUGUGCCCUACAGGAAAGGUUCUGCCCUCACCAGGUCUCCCCGCCUCCCCCUCAUCCCUUGCCAGCUCUGGCCUUGUCCACUCUACCUCAGGGGUGCAUAACUAUGUGUACCCCUAAGCUGGAAGGAGGAAAAGUGUAAUAAAUGAUGUUCCUAAAGUUCUAGGACA